rnacentral:rRNA from 1 species
ACGGCAGCACGGAGAGCUUGCUCUCUGGUGGCGAGUGGCGAACGGGUGAGUAAUAUAUCGGAACGUGUCCAAUAAUGGGGGAUAACGAGUCGAAAGAUUCGCUAAUACCGCAUACGCCCUACGGGGGAAAGCAGGGGAUCGUAAGACCUUGCGUUAAUGGAGCGGCCGAUAUCUGAUUAGCUUGUUGGUGAGGUAAAGGCUCACCAAGGCGACGAUCAGUAGCUGGUUUGAGAGAACGACCAGCCACACUGGAACUGAGACACGGUCCAGACUCCUACGGGAGGCAGCAGUGGGGAAUUUUGGACAUGGGGGCAACCCUGAUCCAGCCAUUCCGCGUGAGUGAAGAAGGCCUUCGGGUUGUAAAGCUCUUUCGCAAGGGAAGAAAACUUAUGAUCGAAUAAAUCAUGAGGUUGACGGUACCUUGAUAAGAAGCACCGGCUACUACGUGCCAGCAGCCGCGGUAAUACGUAGGGUGCGAGCGUUAAUCGGAAUUACUGGGCGUAAAGCGUGCGCAGGCGGUUUUGUAAGUCGGAUGUGAAAUCCCCGGGCUCACCUGGGAACUGCGUUCGAAACUGCAAGGCUAGAGUGUGUCAGAGGGGGGUAGAAUUCCACGUGUAGCAGUGAAAAUGCGUAGAGAUGUGGAGGAAUACCAAUGGCGAAGGCAGCCCCCUUGGGAUAACACUGACGCUCAUGCACGAAAGCGUGGGGAGCAAACAGGAUUAGAUACCCUGGUAGUCCACGCCCUAAACGAUGUCAACUAGUUGUUGGUAGAGUAAAAUCUAUGAGUAACGUAGCUAACGCGUGAAGUUGACCGCCUGGGGAGUACGGUCGCAAGAUUAAAACUCAAAGGAAUUGACGGGGGCCCGCACAAGCGGUGGAUUAUGUGGAUUAAUUCGAUGCAACGCGAAAAACCUUACCUGGCCUUGACAUGUACCGAAUUGAGCAGAGAUGUUCAAGUGCUCGAAAGAGAACGGUAACACAGGUGCUGCAUGGCUGUCGUCAGCUCGUGUCGUGAGAUGUUGGGUUAAGUCCCGCAACGAGCGCAACCCUUGCCAUUAAUUGCCAUCAUUUAGUUGGGCACUUUAAUGGGACUGCCGGUGACAAACCGGAGGAAGGUGGGGAUGACGUCAAGUCCUCAUGGCCCUUAUGGCCAGGGCUUCACACGUAAUACAAUGGUCGGUACAGAGGGUUGCCAACCCGCGAGGGGGAGCCAAUCCCAGAAAGCCGAUCGUAGUCCGGAUUGGUAGUCUGCAACUCGACUGCAUGAAGUCGGAAUCGCUAGUAAUCGCGGAUCAGCAUGUCGCGGUGAAUACGUUCCCGGGCCUUGUACACACCGCCCGUCACACCAUGGGAGUGGGUUUUUACCAGAAGUAGUUAGUCUAACCCGCAAGGAGACGCUUACCACGGUAGGAUUUCAUGACUGGGGUGAAGUCGUAACAAGGUA